GACACCACACAUACAUAGUCAGUAAAAGAGAACGAGAUGGUGAAAGCGAACAGGCACUCUGCAGAGAAGGAAGGGAGAGCGACGAAGAGACUGAGUGGAAAGGGGAGUCGGUCAAGAGUUUUCCGUCGAACCCAUAGGGUUCUGACGAUAGUGGUGACGCAGAACCAGGCGGCAGCGACGAUAAGGUAUGAGAGGCUGCGAGGGCUGCGAGGGUGAUGGUGUUGAUUCGAGUACGCUGAUCGGUGAUUUUGGUUCAAGAGGUGGCGUGCAGAAACAGAUUCCGACGAAGGCUCCGGUUCCGGCGAAGAUCCGGGAAAAACUGGUAUUUACGAGUCGAUAUGUUGGUUCAAAAUCGGAGUUUACCCUUCUAAAACAUCAACAACUAAAUUAAACACUUUGAAAGAUAAUAUGCAGUAAAACACGAUGCUUGAAGGUGAGUGUUAAAUUUGUUGUUAAUUUCACUUUAGGUGUUUGAUUUUAUGCCCCAAAGAAGUCGAAUUCCUUUAA